AUGACAACCCAGACUGGUGGAGGUGACCCGUUACCAUGUAGACCCAGACUGGUGGAGGUGACCCGUUACCAUGACAACCCAGACUGGUGGAGAUGGCACGUUACCAUGACAACCCAGACUGGUGGAGGUGACCCGUUACCAUGACAACCCAGACUGGUGGACGUGACCCGUUACCAUGUAGACCCAGACUGGUGGAGGUGACCCGUUACCAUGACAACCCAGACUGGUGGAGGUGACCCGUUACCAUGACAACCCAGACUGGUGGACGUGACCCGUUACCAUGUAGACCCAGACUGGUGGAGGUGACCCGUUACCAUGACAUCCGAGACUGGUGGAGGUGACCCGUUACCAUGACAACCCAGACUGGUUGAGGUGACCUGUUACCAUGACAACCCAGACUGGUGGAGGUGACCCGUUACCAUGUAGACCCAGACUGGUGGAGGUGACCCAUUACCAUGACAACCCAGACUGGUGGAGGUGACCCGUUACCAUGUAGACCCAGACUGGUGGAGGUGACCUGUUACCAUGACAACCCAGACUGGUGGAGGUGACCCGUUACCAUGUAGACCCAGACUGGUGGAGGUGACCCAUUACCAUGACAACCCAGACUGGUGGAGGUGACCUGUUACCAUGACAACCCAGACUGGUGGAGGUGACCCGUUACCA
rnacentral:lncRNA from 1 species